GAUUGCUUUCAUUCAGCUAGGCAAAAAGGCUUUGAGCAGCCCUACAAUUGCCUUUCUCUCAUUUAUUUGUGCUAGAAUUAAGGUUUAUUUGUUUUCUGUUUUCUUCUUCUUCAGAUUGUUUCUCUGUCUUUAUCCAUUUAACAAACUGUUCCCUCCUGUAUCUCAGAAGGAUACACCUAUAGGGCCUACAUCUCUGUCUGCAGUCUGCAUACCUUCUUCUUUGAGUGCAUUUCUCUCAACUCAUUUGCUGGAGCUCCUAAAUAUCUCUCAAGUAUGAACAGGAAACCAGGAACAGCUGGCCAAGGAGUUCACUAGGCUGCUUAGAGAAGCCAUGGAUGGAGUCCAGGCCUUUUUCUAUGGAUACAGUUAAGUACAGCACCCAAGAAGCCAAGAAGAUAGAAAACAUGAGAAAUAUCUUACCUGGCACACCAUGAUUCUAGCUGGUACCUGUUGUUCCUGAAGCCAUGACAACGUGAGCCAGAUAAUAGGUGAAUGCUGGCAAGUUUCUUAAUGAAGAUGAAAUGAUAAGUCACUUUCUAAAUACUUAUCAGUGUCUUCAAGACAUAUAAGCUGUCUGAUAAUUUAAGCAUAAUUGUGUUGACAUCAUUUCUUCUAAGAUGUGAGGAUAAAAACAUAUGGUGUGUUGUUUCCUUUUUUUUUCUUUCUUUCUUUUUAUAUACAUGAAGCAAGUGAUGAGUAAAGAAUUGAAGUUUUCUGGUGAAUGAAACAGCCAGACCACUUUUCAUGACAAAGUUGGUAAUUAGAAGGCCAAUUUAAUGGUGAAUCAGGCAGAAAUAUUCAAACCAUGACAAAUGACUUUAAUAAUGCAGCUUGCAAUGCUUGAACAGAAAUAAAUUUCACUUCCUCAAACUCUCGCCUUUUCUG
rnacentral:lncRNA from 1 species